AUUGCAGAUUGUGGAAUCAGAAGGCGCAUUUCUAUGAGAUGAUGCAAACCAACAACGUUGUCAGAGUGAAGUUCAAAGAUAGCAAAAAAAUAUAUUUUUUUCUUCAAAAUCUUUUACGUUUCAAACGUUUUUGGAAUGUGUUUGCAAGAAAUUUGAUCUUCCUACAAUGGAUGUGAAAGUCUUUGAUGACUCAAAGACAGAGGUUGAUGAGGAAGCAUUUGAAUACCUGCUGACACGACCAGACCUUGGUGUACUAGAAAUUUUGAUCCCAGGCAAAGAAUGUUCUGAGGAUUCUUUAAGCUUAAGCUCAGUAGGAGAUACCGAAGGCACAUCAGAGGCUGACGACACAGCAAUUUUGAUUAGAAGUCCUCCUAAAAAAAUCAAGCAGAGGAACAUCUUGCUCAAAUGAUCAAAAAUAUCCUAAAGACCAGCCCUGGAGGUGAAAAGAUUGCAAAUGAAUACGCUCGCACUAAAAGUCUGUCAGAUAGCCGAAGACGUGACAUGGUGAAAAUCUUGGUAGCACAUUUGACAAAUGAACAUGGAACAAGGCCUUCCCAACACUUGAAGGAACAAUAUGCAAAGGGAAUCAUCUCCCUCUUCCCAAAUUUGGCUGACCCCAGGAGCAAACUUGGCUACUAUGUUAGUAGCUGUUGCCUCUCAAACUAUUUGAUUUACAGAAGGAGGAUUUACUGCAUCUUGCAAAAUACAUAUUAUUUACAGUAUAAUUGAAGUGGUAUUUAUUUUCUUAGUCUAGUAAUGUAUAACUUUGAGGUCAUAGGAGCAUUAUUACAAUGCAGAAGAUGAAAGUGGAUUUUUGGCAUGGAGAGCAUCGGAGGGUCGGAUGAAACGCCCACGGCAAUCACAAACAGGAGGGCCAACUGCUGAAAGGUAUCUCUGCAAAGGAGAUAGUUUGUUAAAUGAUGAACUUCAGUGUCAGGAAGCAAUUGCUUGAUGAAGCAUACAGCUGACGAGGCAGUGGUAAAGGAAAAGAUGAGGUUAACACUGGCCUAUCGCCAGAAGCUGCUUCAUGACCCUAAAGAGUCAACUGAUAUUCUAUCAAUUUUCCCACGAUUCCAGGAUAUACCAGGCUUGGUAUGUGAGAAUUCUAAAGAUAAAGACAUGCCUGUAUUUCAUGUAAUCCAGAAUAUUGUUGUCAAAGAUGAACAUGUCCUUUUAAUAACAACUGCACUGAAAACUGUUUGUUUAGUUGAACAUAUUCAUGCUUACAAAGUUGCACAUACCGUAGAAGCACCUUGUGUUUUGGAUGUGAAGGAUAUUUUGCACCACAAACUGUUUGACAUUCUGAUGUCUUAUGGUUGUGAUUCUGA